rnacentral:snRNA from 1 species
GUGCUCACUUGAGCAGCACAUACACUGAAAUUGGAAUGAUACAGGGAUUAGCAUGGCCCCUGCACAAGGAUAAUAUGCAAAUUCAUAAAGUGUUCCAUUUUAAA